CUACGGGUUGCUCCAGUGGGGAAUAUUGGACAAUGGGGGAAACCCUGAUCCAGCAAUGCCGCGUGUGUGAAGAAGGCCUGCGGGUUGUAAAGCACUUUCGGUUGGGAGGACUGCUUCUAGCACUAAUAUUGUUGGAAGUUGACGUUACCUUCAGAAGAAGCACCGGCUAACUCCGUGCCAGCAGCCGCGGUAAUACGGAGGGUGCAGGCGUUAAUAGGAAUUACUGGGCGUAAAGCGCGCGUAGGCGGCUAGAUCAGUCGGGUGUGAAAGCCCCGGGCUUAACCUGGGAACUGCAUCCGAUACUGGCUAGCUUGAGUACAGGAGAGGAGAGUGGAAUUCCACAUGUAGCGGUGAAAUGCGUAGAUAUGUGGAGGAACACCAAUGGCGAAGGCAGCUCUCUGGCCUGAUACUGACGCUGAGGUGCGAAAGCGUGGGGAGCAAACAGGAUUAGAUACCCGGGUAGUC
rnacentral:rRNA from 1 species